rnacentral:rRNA from 1 species
GUGGGGAAUAUUGGACAAUGGGCGAAAGCCUGAUCCAGCCAUGCCGCGUGUGUGAAGAAGGUCUUCGGAUUGUAAAGCACUUUAAGUUGGGAGGAAGGGCAGUAAGUUAAUACCUUGCUGUUUUGACGUUACCGACAGAAUAAGCACCGGCUAACUUCGUGCCAGCAGCCGCGGUAAUACGAAGGGUGCAAGCGUUAAUCGGAAUUACUGGGCGUAAAGCGCGCGUAGGUGGUUCAGCAAGUUGGAGGUGAAAUCCCCGGGCUCAACCUGGGAACUGCCUCCAAAACUACUGAGCUAGAGUACGGUAGAGGGUAGUGGAAUUUCCUGUGUAGCGGUGAAAUGCGUAGAUAUAGGAAGGAACACCAGUGGCGAAGGCGACUACCUGGACUGAUACUGACACUGAGGUGCGAAAGCGUGGGGAGCAAACAGGAUUAGAAACCCGAGUAGUCC